rnacentral:rRNA from 1 species
GAGUUUGAUCCUGGCUCAGGAUGAACGCUGGCGGCGUGCUUAACACAUGCAAGUCGAACGGGAAUGCCACGCUGAUGCGAUUUCGGUCAAAUCAUGUGGCAUUCGAGUGGCGGACGGGUGAGUAACGCGUGGGUAACCUGCCUUACACAGGGGGAUAACACCUGGAAACAGGUGCUAAUACCGCAUAAGCGCACAGGGCCGCAUGGCCCGGUGUGAAAAACUCCGGUGGUGUAAGAUGGACCCGCGUCUGAUUAGCUUGUUGGCGGGGUAGGGGCCCACCAAGGCGACGAUCAGUAGCCGGCCUGAGAGGGUGGACGGCCACAUUGGGACUGAGACACGGCCCAAACUCCUACGGGAGGCAGCAGUGGGGGAUAUUGGACAAUGGGGGAAACCCUGAUCCAGCGACGCCGCGUGAGUGAAGAAGUAUUUCGGUAUGUAAAGCUCUGUCAGCAGGGAAGAAAGAAAUGACGGUACCUGACCAAGAAGCCCCGGCUAACUACGUGCCAGCAGCCGCGGUAAUACGUAG